AUUGAACGCUGGCGGCAUGCUUUACACAUGCAAGUCGGACGGCAGCACAGAGAAGCUUGCUUCUUGGGUGGCGAGUGGCGAACGGGUGAGUAAUAUAUCGGAACGUACCGAGUAAUGGGGGAUAACUAAUCGAAAGAUUAGCUAAUACCGCAUAUUCUCUGAGGAGGAAAGCAGGGGACCUUCGGGCCUUGCGUUAUUCGAGCGGCCGAUAUCUGAUUAGCUAGUUGGUGGGGUAAAGGCCUACCAAGGCGACGAUCAGUAGCGGGUCUGAGAGGAUGAUCCGCCACCCGGGGAGUGAGACACGGCCCAGACUCCGACGGGAGGCAGCAGUCGGGAAUUUUGGAGAAUGGGGGCAAGCGUGAUCCAGGAAUGCCGGGUGUCUGAAGAAGGCCUUCGGGUUGGAAAGGGAUUUUGUCAGGGAAGAAAAGGCUGUUGCUAAUAUCGAUAGCUGAUGACGGUACCUGAAGAAUAAGCACCGGCUAACUACGUG
rnacentral:rRNA from 1 species